rnacentral:rRNA from 1 species
UUUUUUAUAUAUGUGUGUGCAGCAGCCGCGGUAUUCCAGCUCCAAUAGCGUAUAUUAAAGUUGUUGCAGUUAAAAAGCUCGUAGUUGAACUUUGGGCUUGGAGAAUCGGUCCAACUUUGUUGUGUACUGUCUUCUCCAGGUCUUUCCUUCUGGUUCUCAUUUGGGGUUUACUCCAUUUGUUGAUCCAGGAUUUUUACUUUGAAAAAAUUAGAGUGUUCAAAGCAGGCGUUUUGCUCGAAUAUAUUAGCAUGGAAUAAUAGAAUAGGACGAUUGGUUCUAUUUUGUUGGUUUCUAGGACCAUCGUAAUGAUUAAUAGGGACGGUCGGGGGCAUCAGUAUUCAGUUGUCAGAGGUGAAAUUCUUGGAUUUACUGAAGACUAACUACUGCGAAAGCAUUUGUCAAGGACGUUUUCAUUAAUCAAGAACGAAAGUUAGGGGAUCGAAGAUGAUCAGAUACCGUCGUAGUCUUAACCAUAAACUAUGCCGACUAGGGAUCGGGCGGUUGGCCCACUCGGCACCUUACGAGAAAUCAAAGUUUUUGGGUUCUGGGGGGAGUAUGGUCGCAAGGCUGAAACUUAAAGGAAUUGACGGAAGGGCACCACCAGGAGUGGAGCCUGCGGCUUAAUUUGACUCAACACGGGGAAACUCACCAGGUCCAGACACAAUAAGGAUUGACAGAUUGAGAGCUCUUUCUUGAUUUUGUGGGUGGUGGUGCAUGGCCGUUCUUAGUUGGUGGAGUGAUUUGUCUGCUUAAUUGCGAUAACGAACGAGACCUUAGCCCUUAAAUAGAGUUGCUGGCAUUUGCUGGUAAAUCUUCUUAUGGGGACUAUCGAUUUCAAGUCGAUGGAAGUUUGAGGCAUACAGCUGUGUGAUGACACACA